GAGAGCCGUAUCCUGGGAAACCGGGGCGUACGGUUCUGAAGAAGGCGGAGGGUAAAACCUCCGCUUUUUUGUUUACCAGAUUUUAACCUUUUAACCUGC
rnacentral:ncRNA from 1 species